UCUUCAGCGGUCUUGUGGCUUAUAGUUACUACGACUACAAAAGAUGUGAUCCCAUUGCAUCAAAUCAAAUCGACAGCUUUGAUCAGAUUUUACCCUUCAUGAUCAUCGACAUUUUCCGGAACCUGCCAGGAAUGCCAGGCCUGUUUCUUGCAGCACUCUUCAGUGCUUCUCUCAGUUCGUUAUCGUCUGGACUAUCAGCUCUGUCAAACAUCACAUGGGAGGACUUUGUAAAGCCCC